UGAAGCUAAAACUACCUUGUGGGCAUGUAGGGUUUCACCGCCCACCUCCAGAGUCACAUCACACAACUAAAAUUGAAAUGGGAGAUAAGACAACAGACAUAAAAUGCAUGUAUGUAUAUGGAGAGGUUACUCAUUACUCUAUCAGGUUACUCAUUACACUAUCAAUGUAAGGAAUGGAAUAUUAAAUUUCAACACGACAAAGAGACAUCAACGUUACUGUUUUGUAUUUACAAUCAAAUAAAGGAUAUUGACUCUUUUUGGUGGCCAUUGUAAAAACA